rnacentral:tRNA from 1 species
GGGAGCGGUUGUGUCCCGGUGGAUGCCUUCGUCUUCAAAAUGAGUGGCCGGCUACGCUGAGUAGGCGGCGGUGGGUUCGACUCCCAUCCGCUCCCGCCA